AGCAUAUAAAUAAGCGGAGGAAAAGAAACUAACGAGGAUUCCCCCAGUAACGGCGAGUGAACGGGGAAGAGCCCAGCGCCGAAUCCCGCGACCCCACACGAGGGUUGCGUCAGGGACAUGUGGCGUUUGGGAGAGACUCGUCCGGGCGGUCGCCGCGGCCGUAGGUCCUCCUGACCGGGGCCAAUACCCACGGAGGGUGCUAGGCCCGUAUCGACCGUGACGUCGCUCGGACGUUCGCUCCCCAGAUUCGGGUUGCUUGGGAGUGCAGCCCCAAUCGGGUGGUAGACUCCACCUAAGGCUAAGUACAGCCGCGAGACCGAUA
rnacentral:rRNA from 1 species